UACAUGGGGUGCAAACGUUGCUCGGAAUUAUUGGGCGUAAAGCGCACGUAGGCGGUUCGUUAAGUCGAAUGUGAAAUCCCCCGGCUCAACCGGGGAAGUGCAUCCGAAACUGGCGAGCUAGAGUACGAAAGAGGGUCGCGGAAUUCCCGGUGUAGAGGUGAAAUUCGUAGAUAUCGGGAGGAACACCGGUGGCGAAGGCGGCGACCUGGGUCGAUACUGACGCUGAGGUGCGAAAGCGUGGGGAGCAAACAGG
rnacentral:rRNA from 1 species